ensembl:lncRNA
UGACUUGGCCCACAUGAGAUCAGCCUCUCUGAAGAUUCCAAAAGACGCAGCCUUAGAGGAGCAGCAGGUGCUCAUGCUUUUGGUGCUGUGUCAGUUAUUAAGAAGUUCCUGCCCCAGGGAGCCAGAAGGAAGUGCACUAAAACCCGGGUCUUUGCAGCCCCAAGGAAUUCUCCAGGCCAGAAUACUGGAAUACCUUGGACUUUGAAGAAGCAUUAUAUUUAUGUCUCUAUACCCUUUACACUUGGACGUGAAGUUGGCAAACUUUGGGAGAUGGUAAGUGGCUGUCUUCUGCUCGGAUGCAUCAGCUUCAGAGUGGGUGGAGGUUUGAGGGCCCCGUCUGCUGUCUCGAUGCUGUGGUAUAAGCACCUCAAGUGCAGUGGUGAGCCGUUUUGCUCAGGACGCUUAUCCACUCUUAAAGAAAAUUAAAGGUUGGAAAGGGCCCGGAGCCUCAGUGACAGCCAAGCCAUCCAUCCACGCUGGGGGACAAACAGCACAGAUGAAAACUGCGGUGAACACUUCUCUGCACAGUCCCUUGCCUGCAUACUUAGUGAAAAUUGGCCUCAGCGAAGAGAACAAAGUAAAAGCAUUUUGAAUUAUUACCGCAAACCUUCAAGUGGUCAUAAUCCAAGAUUUCAAGUACCUCAGUUGAAGGCUCAGGUUUUCUACAGUGUGUAUGGUAACUGAGUGUCUUUCAUUUAAACUACACUGAGCUAAUCUUUUGGAGAAUUGGAAUCUGCCUCUGAACUAAUUAUGAUUUACAGAAAUUGAUAAUUUGUCUUCUCCAUGUGCCUGCAGGAAAGAAUUACUAUUCAAUUUGAUUAACAAAUGACAGAUUUCAGCCUGGUAAUUUGCCAUCUUUAUUAGCAAACUUAGAAAACUUCUAAUAGUGAUCUUUUUACUCACAGCAUCUCUGUUCUGGUAAAGCUUAUCUAGAAAUAUCAGAGGUGGUAUGAACCCACCUCACCUUUAACAAAUAAUUCUGGGUGUGAUUUCUCUUUUCAGUCCUCAAGCACAACCUAACCACUCAAACUGAAUUCCCGUGAAACUUGAAAUUUAAUAANNNNNNNNNNNNNNNNNNNNNNNNNNNNNNNNNNNNNNUGAAUACAUUUCUGAAGAACUCCCUCAAAACACAUAAGGUUGUAUAAAAGGAAGCAGAGCAUUAUAUUAAUUUUAUUUUUCAUGCCCCACUUUGUCAGAUGUCUUUCUUUCUUUUUAAACGGGUUGUAGUUGUGUGUAAUGGACAAAACUGUUGUUCAAAGCUCAGCCAUAAUAUGCAGUUGACAUUGUGAAUCAUUCUGAAACCUACUUUAGAGGUACACAGCUGAGAUGUAAAACUGUUGUAGCAUGGCAGUAAAGAAAGGGAGUUCAGCUUUCUUCACAUGGGUAAUAUGGUACAGUGUUUAAAAGUAUAUUAGUGUACAUAUGCUUAUACAGUUGAAAAAAAUAAUACACUGCCCUGAGCGGCCUAGUAAAACUGUCAGUGUGCUUACAAAUGCCCUUUCCUAUUUUUAUGUCAGAAGAAUCUUAUCUUCCUGCAUGUCAAAAAGGGAAGUUGAAUUGUUAGCCUUUCCAAGACCCAAAGGUAAAGUUUAAUUUUAUAAUGACAUGAAAUAACUGUUCUAUUAUCNNNNNNNNNNNNNNNNNNNNNNNNNNNNNNNAGCCUCCCUUCUCAAGGAUGCAGCUUGUGUGUGAUGCUAAUAUUAAAAUGGACCUGCCAAAUUGAGUGAUUGGAGGUGCUAAUAACUCCAAGUGGGGAGAUGCAAACAACAUAUUGCACACACCUGCUUUCCGCUCUAUGUCAGUCUCAUUAGGUUCUUGAAUGGGUGAAUGUAAUGGUGAAGGAGGGGAGUGAGACGUAUACUAGGAAGAAGCUCUGAGAGGGGCUGAUGCUCUGCAACAUUAGAGUAAGCCAGGUGUCUUUUGCUUAGAAGUUUGGAUUGUUAAUAGCAGUCUAUCAUGGAUAGAUGUAUUGGUGGCGAGCGUAGUUUUACUUAUCCAUACCCCUGGCUCAGGUUGGUGUUGCAUUGAAAAUGUAUAUUUCUAUGACUUCCCUGGUGGCUCAGACAGUAAAGUGUCUGCCUACAAUGCGGGA